rnacentral:rRNA from 1 species
UACAGAGGUCCCAAGCGUUGUUCGGAUUCACUGGGCGUAAAGGGUGCGUAGGCGGGUCUUUAAGUCAGGGGUGAAAUCCUGGAGCUCAACUCCAGAACUGCCUUUGAUACUGAAGAUCUUGAGUUCGGGAGAGGUGAGUGGAACUGCGAGUGUAGAGGUGAAAUUCGUAGAUAUUCGGAAGAACACCAGUGGCGAAGGCGGCUCACUGGCCCGGUACUGACGCUGAGGUGCGAAAGCGUGGGGAGCAAACAGG